rnacentral:rRNA from 1 species
GACGAACGCUGGCGGCGUGCUUAACACAUGCAAGUCGAACGGAAAGGCCCUGCUUUUGUGGGGUGCUCGAGUGGCGAACGGGUGAGUAACACGUGAGUAACCUGCCCUUGACUUUGGGAUAACUUCAGGAAACUGGGGCUAAUACCGGAUAGGAGCUCCUGCUGCAUGGUGGGGGUUGGAAAGUUUCGGCGGUUGGGGAUGGACUCGCGGCUUAUCAGCUUGUUGGUGGGGUAGUGGCUUACCAAGGCUUUGACGGGUAGACGGCCUGGGAGGGUGACCGGCCACCAUGGGACUGAGAUACGGCCCAGACGCCUACGGGAGGCAGCAGGGGGGAAUAUUGCACAAUGGGCGGAAGCCUGAGGCAGCAACGCCGCGUGCGGGAUGACGGCCUUCGAGUUGUAAACCGCUUUCGCCUGUGACGAAGCGUGAGUGACGGUAAUGGGUAAAGAAGCACCGGCUAACUACGUG